AAGAGGUCCAGCCUGCCCAGUGACCAUGUUCAACGGCCGCGGUAUCCUAACCGUGCGAAGGUAGCGUAAUCACUUGUUCUUUAAAUAAGGAAUAGUAUGAACGGCAUCACGAAGGUUACACUGUCUCCUCUUUCUAAUCAGUGAAACUAAUCUCCUCGUGAAGAAACGAGGAUAAACAUAUAAGACGAGAAGACCCUAUGGAGCUUCAAACUAUAAAGCACCUGCCCCAGUAUUACUUAAUUCCAGAAAACCACACCUACCCAGGCAAGAUGACCUUUAGUUUUAGGUUGGGGUGACCGCGGAGCAAAAAAAAACCUCCACAUUGAAAGGAGCCAACUCCUUAGCCAAGAGCCACACCUCUAAGCACCAACAAAAAGACAUCAAUUGACCCA
rnacentral:rRNA from 1 species